rnacentral:rRNA from 1 species
UGCGUAGGCGGUUAGUUAGGUCUGUUGUGAAAUCCCCGGGCUCAACCUGGGAAUGGCAAUGGAUACUGGCUAGCUAGAGUGUGUCAGAGGAUGGUGGAAUUCCCGGUGUAGCGGUGAAAUGCGUAGAGAUCGGGAGGAACGAAUCAGUGGCGAAGGCGGCCAUCUGGGACAACACUGACGCUGAAGCACGAAAGCGUGGGGGAGCAAACA